rnacentral:rRNA from 1 species
UGAGGAAUAUUGGUCAAUGGGCGCAAGCCUGAACCAGCCAUGCCGCGUGCAGGAUGACGGUCCUAUGGAUUGUAAACUGCUUUUGUACAGGAAGAAACACUCCUUCGUGAAGGAACUUGACGGUACUGUAAGAAUAAGGAUCGGCUAACUCCGUGCCAGCAGCCGCGGUAAUACGGAGGAUCCAAGCGUUAUCCGGAAUCAUUGGGUUUAAAGGGUCCGUAGGCGGUUUAGUAAGUCAGUGGUGAAAGCCCAUCGCUCAACGGUGAACGGCCAUUGAUACUGCUAGACUUGAAUUAUUAGGAAGUAACUAGAAUAUGUAGUGUAGCGGUGAAAUGCUUAGAGAUUACAUGGAAUACCAAUUGCGAAGGCAGGUUACUACUAAUGGAUUGACGCUGAUGGACGAAAGCGUGGGUAGCGAACAGGAUUAGAUACCCUGGUAGUCCACGCCGUAAACGAUGGAUACUAGCUGUUGGAAGCAAUUUCAG